UCUGAGGAUCAAGUGGGAUGGUGUGUGUGAAACCUCUAGCACAGGACCUAGACACAUGCAUGAAAAAGUAAUACCAGCUACUACUAUUUCAAAGCCUUUGCUGUCCUUGACAUUUCGGGCAAUAACUUGUGUAUAAAUCAACUGUCAGCCAGGAUGAACAUUUGGAAACAGAUUAUUAGUAAUUCCAGAGACGGAAAAACAACGUAUCUCACGUUCUUUAACUAAGACGCUCCCAAGGGCUCCUGUGCCUUCAGCUCAGGUGGCAGCAUCUCGUCUCAUCAGCACCAAGGGACCCCGGCCCUGCUUCGCCCACAGCUGCAGAACAGAAGGUAACUGACUAACACCCCGGGUUCCUGGAAGAGGCUCCCACAGCAAGGAUGCAACGCAAGGCACAGAAACAAGAUGCUACUCGGCCCUAUGACAUUCGGGCUCCUUGUGAUACUACCCCCCCACAAGUAAGAAUUAUAGAUUCGAUCAACAGAAGGCUUUAUUUUUAAAAAGAUGGGGAAUGCACAGUACCUCUAAUCGUUGUAUGCGUCCCUUGAAAAACAUAAAGAGGGAAGAAUUUGGAUAAGCAGCUUCUUUUUUGAGAAGAAUUUCCUUCGCUUCAUCCAGGCCUGCUUUGUUAUCACUGCCAUCCAGGGCAAAAAACGGGCGGACCACAGUAUGAUACCAGAGCAGCGCUAAUCUAAAGGAAGAGGGAGAGAAACCGUCCCAGGACUCGCCCGACUCCAUGUCCCAAAUGCGGUGACCGAAACAUCUGAGCUCAGCCAGACUCCGACGGGAGGAGCAGAGGCUGUGUGAGGACCGGGUGGAGAAGCUGCGCUCCGGGCCCACAGCACCGCGGCCCCAGCGGGAGGGACGCUUAGUCAGCUGAUGCCCAGCAACGCGGCCAGGAGCAGCCUCUGCCCAACAAGCAGAGAAAACAGUUGAACACAGGGCCCCUCAAUCUGCACGGGCUUUCAUAGGCUCCUCUGAAACGUCAGACAUAAAACAUUCAACCAUCGUGCCUGCGUCCCCGGAGGGCUGCACAGAGAGCAGAAAACCACAGACCGACCGCCCUCCCCUGUCAGGGGCAGCCUCAACCAACCAGAGAUGCAGGAGAGAUGGGAAACCCUGUCCCCAUAAUGGGGGUGGGAGUCCUCCCCUAGAAAGGGCAAGAGUUGUCUGGAAAAUGGAAAUAUCAAGUUACACUAAAUGGAUCCUGGAAUAAAUUUUGUAAAUUUU